AUGUGCAGCCAUACCACCCUGAUCACGCCCAAACUCGGAAGCUAAGCAGGUUAGUACUUGGAUGGGAGACUGCCUCCAUGGAAAAAGGCUUCAGGAG
rnacentral:rRNA from 1 species